AUGCAGGCACAUCCCUCUGCCUGCUCUCACCGUUCAGUGGCACUGCAUCUGGGGAGCAAGCCUUCAACCUGGAAGCCUUUGGCAGUGUAUUCAUUUCAGCUCUGCAAGAGGCAACGGCCCACCAUAAAUACCAACACCUACAACAGAUCUUGCACACCAUGAAGCUCUACGAUUUGACUUGUGUGGCCGGGCAGUGACAGGCAUGGAUGCUCAUCUCCUUAGCACUGUGAUGACACGUGUUCACCUCCACACCAGGCACCAUCUUAUGGAGGUUCUGUGGCACCAAACUCUGGUCCGAGUGCUUGGGAAACAAACUCUUUGCUGACUAAGUGAGAUUCCCAGCCCAGUCGAGCAUCUUUAUAAGACAAAUACGAAAGGAAGUUUGAGAGGCUGGGGGGAGAGGUGUCACACAGUACAUGGGGUCUUCCAGUGGAUGUUGGGAUCAGAGAUGCAGCCACACCCCAAAGAUGCCUCUGACCCUUGAGGCUGGAAAGAGGAGGGCGAGUCCCCACCCACUCCAGGUCUCCCACAGGAUGUGCAGCCCUGCUGGACAUUGGCUUCCACAUCAGUGAUAAUGAGUUCUUGCUUCUGGCUUUCAGUACUAUGGGCAAGUGACUUUCAGUUGCCUGAAGCCAGUGGUUCCCAAACCUGCAAAUUCUGGGUCCCUUUAGUACAGUUCCCCAUUUUGUGGUGAUCCCCCAACCAUAAAAUUAUUUCGUUGCUACUUCAUAACUGCAACUUUGAUACUCUUAUGAGUCCUUAUGUAAAUAUCUGAUAUGCAGGAUAUCUGAUAUGCUAACCCCCCCAUGCAAAAGGGCCACUUGAUCCCCCAAAGAGUCGUGACCCCCCCCCCAGGUUGAGAACCACUGCCUUAAAACUGCCAUGUGAAUGGUAACUCUUCAUCGUAGUCAUAGAUCUGCCAACCCCUGAGCAGUUUACUGUUUCCUUGUCAAGAGGUCGGAUGAAAUCAAACGAGCCAGGACCAGGUGCCCAGCUCUGGCGCUCGCUGGCUGUGUAGCCUCUCACAGCUCCUGUCCUCGCUGUCAGCUUUCUUACUUACAAAAUGAAUGUAACCAUCUUCCCAUAUGAUUUGUAGGUAGGUUUGCAUCAGCUGCUGUUCUCGUGAUGGGGACUGAAUAUCUGAUGAAAGGAAGGGAAAGUUUACUUGGGGGGGGGGGUCUGAGGGGACAGUUCCAUUACAUUUGAGAUAGCAAGAGUGUGAUGUAACUAGCCACAUGGCACCAUGGCCGCAAAGUGGAAAGAGACGAGAUGCUGGUUUUCCCCUUUUGAUUCAGUCCAGGAUCCUGUCCCAGGGAAUGGCGCUGCACGCGGCCCAGAGGGUGGGUCUUCCCACCUCACUUAAACCUCUCUGGGAAUUCCUUCAAAGACUUACCCAGGGGUGCGUCCCUUAAGUGAGUCUAAAUCCAUAAACCUGACAGUUAAGAUUAACCAUCAAGGGAUUAAUAAUGUGUUUUAAGUUCUUAGUGGAGUGCUGAAUAAAUGGCUGGACUGUCUUACA
rnacentral:lncRNA from 1 species